rnacentral:rRNA from 1 species
UACGUAGGUGGCAAGCGUUGUCCGGAUUCACUGGGCGUAAAGGGUGCGCAGGCGGCCGAGUGUGUGAGGCGUGAAAGCCCGGGGCUUAACCCCGGAAUUGCACCUCAAACUACACGGCUAGAGCAUUGGAGAGGGUAGCAGAAUUCAUGGUGUAGCAGUGAAAUGCGUAGAUAUCAUGAGGAAUACCAGAGGCGAAGGCGGCUACCUGGACAAUUGCUGACGCUCAGGCACGAAAGCGUGGGGAGCGAACAGG